ACUGUAAUCUUUAUCAGAUAACCCUCGGAUUUUAUUUCUCACUCUACGGGUGUCAGAAAAAUAUGAAACUUUAAAUCUAGCCUCAUAAAAAUAUUUCUGACAUCUUUGCCAAUUUUUAUAAUUUUCUGACACUGUGCAUUUUCUGCUAAUUUAUCUGUCCCGUUUCUUACAGAAAAUUCUAAACUUUCUGUUUUCGCUCCGAUUUCAGUACAGGUCAUUCCCAACUUAUAUUUCAGUUCUCUAAAUCCAAUAAAAAUAGUAUCUCAUACUAUUUUUAUUUAUUUUCACUUUUAUAUUUAAAAUCCGGUAUGUUACGUUCCACCGCAACCUCACUGGAACCAUUUAAAUAUACACCGUAACUUCAUAGUUUUAGAAGUCCGGUACCUUACAACAUGGAUCCUAUAGUGUUAAAGGAAAGAGAUGAACUCGAUAGUUAUUUAGUGACAUAGAGAGUGGCAUCUAAAUGUUUAAAGAACAGAACGAGUGGCAUUAUGUAGU
rnacentral:lncRNA from 1 species